CUGCGCUCGCCUGGCGUUGCCUGCCUUCAGCAUGCACGGCUUCCUGGCUCAAACUGCGUCACAGUGUGGAAGACAACCAAGAGUCAAGAAUUUCACACAGUAUUAUUUUAAGGCCUUUGUAAUAUCUGGUCCCAAUAUGACAGAAUGAAUUUUCUUCCAUAGCACAAGCCAUUAUUACAAAAGAAAAUAGCAAGGUAAUGCAAUUUUUCUAAUUACCAGAACUAAUUAUCAAGAGUAGAACACUAAUUUUUAAAUUACCUUACUUAGGAUGAACAUGCAUCAACAGUGGAACAGGGAAUAGAAGAUAUAAGUGGAGCUGGAAGUUACUAAGCUGAGCAUAAUCCCCUCCAGCUGCAUCUAUGUUGCUGCAGAUGAUCCUUCAGUGAAUAGACGUCGGACUCUACUUUGUGGUUUCCAUACACAGUGGGGUUUUCAUAGCAGCAGGGACUUCUGGUAAUUCUCUAGUCUGCUCAGCUCUGCUUCUCUACCACGUUCCUUACAUUCUCCUGCCCUCCAGCCCUCUCUGACUCCAGAACAUUCCCAUCAGUAUCCACAUAUUGCUUCCCACUUCACCAAGAAAACUGAAUCCAUCAUGAGGAUUGAACUUCUUGUCAUCUAAUGUAAGAACAUACUUGCAGGCACCUCUCCUGCCUACUUGUGACUAUGCAGGUGCCUUUUUCUCCUUUUCCUA